rnacentral:misc_RNA from 1 species
AAGGAAACCAAUAAAAUCAAUCAUCUUCAGUUUUGAAAGACUUAGGAUAACUAGUUUUUCUUCGUGACUUCACGAAGGGCCUAUAGCUCAGUUGGUUAGAGCACACGCCUGAUAAGCGUGAGGUCGGUGGUUCAAGUCCAUUUAGGCCCACCAGAGUUAUAGGUGUCGUAAGAACACAAAUUCUUUGAAAAUUAGGUAAAUAAUAGUUAUUUUUCCGGAACA